UGGGGAAUAUUGGACAAUGGGCGCAAGCCUGAUCCAGCCACGCCGCGUGAGUGAUGAAGGCCUUCGGGUCGUAAAGCUCUGUGGGGAGAGACGAACCGCUGGGGUAACCCUCCAGCAUGACGGUAUCUCCUUAGCAAGCACCGGCUAACUUCGUGCCAGCAGCCGCGGUAAUACGAAGGGUGCAAACGUUGCUCGGAAUUAUUGGGCGUAAAGCGCACGUAGGCGGUUUUUCAAGUCGGAUGUGAAAUCC
rnacentral:rRNA from 1 species